rnacentral:rRNA from 1 species
UCGGACGGGAUCCAUCGGAGGGCUUGCUCGAAGAUGGUGAGAGUGGCGCACGGGUGCGUAACGCGUGAGCAACCUACCUCUAUCAGGGGGAUAGCCUCUCGAAAGAGAGAUUAACACCGCAUAACAUCAACAGUUCGCAUGUUCGGUUGAUUAAAUAUUUAUAGGAUAGAGAUGGGCUCGCGUGAGAUUAGCUAGUUGGUAGGGUAACGGCUUACCAAGGCGACGAUGUCUAGGGGCUCUGAGAGGAGAAUCCCCCACACUGGUACUGAGACACGGACCAGACUCCUACGGGAGGCAGCAGUAAGGAAUAUUGGUCAAUGGGCGGAAGCCUGAACCAGCCAUGGCCGGGUGGCAGGAGUGUUGCCCCUAGGGUGGUAAACUGGUUUUGUCCAGGAAUAAGCCUCCGUGACGAUGAGAGAGCUGAGUGUACUGGAAGAAUGAGGAUCGGGU